rnacentral:tRNA from 1 species
GCAGUCGUAGCUCAGCUUGGAUAGAGCGAUUGCCUCCUAAGCAGUAGGUCGGGAGUUCGAAUCUCCUCGACUGCG